GGUCUGCUGGCCCAAUGGAAAGGCGUCUGACUACGAAUCAGGAGAUUGCAGGUUCGACCCCUGCGUAGAUCA
rfam:Mortierella elongata AG-77 unplaced genomic scaffold K457scaffold_65, whole genome shotgun sequence.